ensembl:lncRNA
CAGCCCUCUGUGGCUCCCUCUGAGCCCACUGUGGGAUGCACCUCGCUCCUGAGAAGGCGCUGAGCUGAGAGGAAGCCGCUGUGCUUUCUGAGCCUUGGCACAUCCUCACUUCCCGGUCCUGUUGCAUUUCCAGCCUCUGGACAAUCAUGUCACACCUCUGCUCUCCUGCCUGUCAUUAAGGCUCAUCUUUAGGAAACAUUUCUUGUCAGUUAGUCUUGCCAGAAUUCAAGAAGGUUAAGGGAGAAUAAAGGAUGGUCCAAAAAAGAACAAGGAAAAUGAAAAUUUGAAAAAGGGAGCCAUUCCUGAGAGGUUAUUUCACCUGCAGCAGAGUGACCGAGGAAGGAGUGCCUAGCUACCUUUAUGCCUGUGGAGGGAAGAGGUGCCUGGGCUGAUUUUUUUCCACCUUGGCAGAAGUGACUGGAGGCGGAGGAACAGGGAUCUUCAAUACGUACUCCCAUUCUGGGGCUGCUUCUGCUCUAAAAACAGAGCCAAGCAGUUCAGGAAAUCUGCCGAGAAGGCCACCAAGCAAAAUCCUAAGAGCAGCUGGUCUGGAGCCAGGCAGGUUGUGCUACAGUUGCAUGUCACUGUUGACUUCAGAAGAUGCUGCUGCUCUAGGAAGCAUAGAAGAGGUGAAUGCUAGUACCUCCAGUGCACUGCGACGUGUUCACCAUCUUCUCUGACCUGUCCCUGCCCUUUAAUAAGAAUUCUCGAGUUGAUUGAGCUUUCAUACUUUGGACAGUAUCAGCCUGGUGAGACGGCUUGGUGGAUUUCCCAGCUUGCACCUCUCCAAAGAGAAGAUGUCAUUUGCUAUCUCAGUCUCCAGAUGUCCAAAACUUACUUUUGUUGGUCACUAAGAGCAAAAUUGUCAAACAGGUGACAGUUUUGUUGUUUGGAGGAAAUCAUGUCCACUAGACCCAGUGAGCUGUGGUACAACUCCAGUUAAUAUUUGACUAUUGGCUUCCUGUUACACAGAAAACUAAUAGUGAAGAAUAAACCACAAUAGGAUGUGUUCUCUGUUCAUCCCAACUGGAGAAAGUGGGGAGAAUCCUUUGAUGAUAUUUGAACUCUCUUGUCUACUUUCCAAAGUGGUUGAAGGAAGUUCCAGUGACCAAGUCUUCCAAAGAUUCUGCCUCAUUUCAUGGCUUCUUGAGCAGAUAUCCGGCUGCCCGUCUUAGAGGUGAUCCACAUUUGUAGGUGAAGUAGAAGAGAGAAGAUGAAAAGAAAAUUGAAAAGAAAAUAGAGCUUUGGUGUGUGGUGUCAACAUGUGUCAAAAUGACAUAACUCCCCACGGAGAGAAAAGAAACUUCUAGUCCCAAGGACAAAACCCACCUGUUUUACUUAAUCCUCAAUUCCCCGUCUCACCACGUUCCCCCUCCAACCCUUGACAGAUUGAAGGAUCUUGUUGGCUCCGAUUGAUUCCCUGAACACCUGUGUCCACCAGACUGUCCUUUAUGGAUAUUUCCUGAUCUCUUGGCUUCGGCUGGCUUGUGUCUCCAUGGUAACAGGGAGUGGGGAGGGGGACGUGGGGGCAGCUCAGUCCAUUUGUCAUCAAUUGCCACUGUUUUGUUCUGCUUGGUGUGUGCUCUCAAUUGAGUCCUGGAGGAGGCAAAGCAGAACAGAGAGAUUCGGCUGAAGGACUGCUCCCGCCCUCUGAAACCGGGGGUGGGGGGAUGUAGCCGAGGGGACUGUCUUCAGAGAGGGAGAGAGCCCGGGUAUAGAGAUUAUAACCAAAUGCCAACCUUCUCUGGGAGAAUAAUUUUUCUGUGACUCAGAUUUUAUGUUUUAGGAGGGAGGAUGGCAUUCGUGUCCAUCCAAAGACCUUUAUUAUUUUGUUAAAGUAAGAGGAAGGAAAUUUUGCAACCUCCCCAUAAUAUAGAAUAAGAUGUCGUCUUUCUUAUUCUGGGUUGGAAUUUUUACUUAAAAAAAAAGUGAUUGGACUCCCACCGUGUCACUGCCUUAAACAGACCACGAGUUGUGCAUCUUGUUUCAUUUUGUGCCUUCUCUGUGUGCUGUGCAUUCAUUUAGAUGAUUCACAAAAGCCUGUCCCCUGUGCCUCCCCCGAUCAGGAUUAAAGAGCUCAAGCCCUGCCAGUUGGGUGGAAGCAUUGCUGGUUGGACCCAGCCUAUGAAUGCCCUUCUUCCCACUGAUCUGGGCCCGAGGAACUCUUUGUUUUGUUCCACUCCGAUCUUUGCCCUUAGCAGAGGCUCAGACCCAGUUCCUCCCAGACUCGUGAUGACUUGGAUGAUGUCCUCUCUCUCAUUCCAUGAGGAACUCACCAGUGUGAUCAAAUUCAAUGGCCCCUUCUCCAUCUGUUUACUAUUUGGCCUCUCUGCAUCAUUUACAACAUGUUAUCACUCCUCCUCUGCAACUUCUCUUCUUGGGCUCCCGUCACACAGAAUGCUCUGUGUUCUUUCUUCCUCUCUCUUGGUGCUUCUUGAUCAUCCUUCUUGGGUCUUUUGUUUCCUUCCACAAUUUCAAAGUUGGUAUUGUCCAAGGCUCUGUUCUUGGCCUGCUUUUCAUACUCCUCCUCACUCCUUGCAAUGUCAUCCACACCUAUAGCCUUAACCAUGAACUCUGAGGCUGACUCUCAAACCUGCCUCUAAACCAGGUCGCGCUUCUGAGCAACUCUGCAUGGAAAUGUACAAACUAUUCAAAACGAAUUUGACUUUCUCUUCAACUUGCCCUCCAUUUUCUCUGGUAUUGUUAGCAUCUGCGUUCUCCCAGUUGCUCAGACUUAAAAGCUUUGUAUCAUCUUUGAUUAUGCCUACAUAUGCCACAACUCUCAUCAGUCUUAUUUUCCUCCUCUGCCACUUUCUCCUCCUCCUUCUUCUCUGCGUGCCCCCCCCCCCCCCCCCCCCCCCCCCCCCCCCCCCCCCCCCC